AUCCCAUGAUGUGGACAUCUUCUUACUAGUUCUUUAAAUCUCUUCCAAGCUUCAUACAAGGAUUUACCUUCAAAUUGUGUGAAUGAGGUUAUAUCGUUCCUCAUCUU
rfam:Theobroma cacao cultivar Matina 1-6 unplaced genomic scaffold scaffold_12, whole genome shotgun sequence.